GCCGUCUUAGCUCAGUCGGUAGAGCACCACCAUGGUAAGGUGGGGGUCGCCGGUUCGAGUCCGGCAGACGGCUUCA
rnacentral:tRNA from 1 species